rnacentral:rRNA from 1 species
AACGAACGCUGGCGGCAUGCCUAACACAUGCAAGUCGAACGAAGGCUUCGGCCUUAGUGGCGCACGGGUGCGUAACGCGUGGGAAUCUGCCCUUAGGUUCGGAAUAACAGUUAGAAAUGACUGCUAAUACCGGAUGAUGACGUAAGUCCAAAGAUUUAUCACCUGAGGAUGAGCCCGCGUAGGAUUAGCUAGUUGGUGUGGUAAAGGCGCACCAAGGCGACGAUCCUUAGCUGGUCUGAGAGGAUGAUCAGCCACACUGGGACUGAGACACGGCCCAGACUCCUACGGGAAGCAGCAGUGGGGAAUAUUGGACAAUGGGCGCAAGCCUGAUCCAGCAAUGCCGCGUGAGUGAUGAAGGCCUUAGGGUUGUAAAGCUCUUUUACCCGUGAUGAUAAUGACAGUAGCGGGAGAAUAAGCCCCGGCUAACUCCGUG